AGCAGCUACUCACAUGAUUUAAAAACUCAGUAUCAUCACCUCUACAAUGUUGCAGCCACUCAAAUCAAUAUCAACCUUAGAGAUACUGUAUAUGCAAUAUCCUAGCUUAGCAACCAAAUCCAUUCACUCAGCAACUUAACUAAUCAUGUCUGACUAACUCCUCUACUGACUUCAUUUCUUGCAUAAAAUAAAAGUGUAGGCUUUAUUAGGAGUAUCGAUCAAAAGACACAUGGACUCUUACUCAAACA
rnacentral:lncRNA from 1 species